UUAAACGGUCGCGUACUGCAAAGCCGAAAGGUAGCAUACGAGGAAAGUCCGGGCUCCACAGAGCAAUGAUGCUGGAUAACGUCCAGUGAGGGUAACCUUAAGGAAAGUGCAACAGAAAACAACCGCCACAUAAGGCUCCCUCAAGGCUUGGCUUUGAGAGAAAUCUUAUGCGGUAAGGGUGAAAAGGCGAGGUAAGAGCUCACCGCUUUUAUGGUGACAUAAAGGGUCAGUGUAAACCCCAUCUGGAGCAACACCGAGACAAGAAGGCUAAGACUGCUCGUCAUCUUCUUAAUUUGGUGGCUUGAGGCAUAUAGUAAUAUAUGUACUAGAUAAAUGACCGUUCUAGACAGAACCCGGCUUAUAGAUUUACUUU
rnacentral:RNase_P_RNA from 1 species